AUUGUGAAACCGAGGUGCUGUUAGCUGGUGUUGAAGCAGAGCUGGGUCCUUGUCUCCCUGGAGUAUUUACACCAGAACAAGGCAAGACCUUACUGUCUACUCUGUCAGCUACACAACAAACUGAUUUGGAUAUUCAUACUUCCACUCCAGUGCAACCUGGUAACCCGAUGCCCUGCCUCCCCCCCCUUCCCAGAGUCUCCCUGCACUGGAAAUGCCUUCAGCCCAGUACUCCACCCUGUUAAACAGCAGCAAGUCUCUGUGCCUGCUAACGGUUUGGUUGCAGGACUGUCGCCGUCUGUCAGCAAAGUCAAGAAAAUGGAAAUUAAGAAGUUUCCCAAGUCAAACUUCAGCAGAGUAAAAUCUAAAGUUGUAACAAAAAGUAUGCAUCGAACGCCAGUGUCAGGCCCCGCUUCAGUGCACAAACCCUCACAAGCAAACGUGAACCAUAAACCCACUGUAGCACAAAGCGGGGCGCCUAUCAAGAAUGGUCCUGUUAACUUCAGGAGUAGCGCUGCAGUUCUCUCCACCGCCAACGGAAUGGUCAAUGAUGCUGAGAGACGAGUAAAUAGAGAGGCCGCUAAUUUGGCCGAAACAAUUCUACAGUCUGGAAAUACUGCAGUGGAUGAACCGGGGACGAGUAGAGAAUCCCCACUCCUCCAGCAUCCAGUUGCAAAUAAACAUGCUUCAGCAGUCCAACGCAGUAACCCCAGCUCUGAAGCAGAACAGACCGCCUCAGGCCGAGUAGCAGGCGCUGCGGCGCUCCGUCCUGCCAACCAGACUCUUUGCUUCUCAUCCAUGAGAAUAAAAACAAACAAAACAGGCCAAACGGAUCCCAAACCAACUCCAAAAAAGGGCCUGUUAAACAAAUUUGAUCUCAGGUCAGGCUCAGCUUCAGGCGAGCACAAGCCUUCUGUGCUGAAGAUGCGGACUCGCUGUUCAUCCGACAGCUUAUCAUUGUCAUCUCGACAGUCUGACAUCCACGUGGGGCAGACCAAAGGGAACCUGAGCGGCUCUUCCCUGAAUAAACUGACUGAGACCACAAAUGCACCGUCUAAAAUCUCACCAAGAGACGUUAAGAGGAUCAGCCUGGUAGCAGAGUCCAGAAAAUCCACAACAGCAGAAAUCUCCUCGAAUGAGAGUAAGAGCAGAUUUUGGGGACUGACGUCUCCUAGACAAUCAAGGGGAACACCACAUUCACAACCUCUAGCUGCCAGUCCCAGAGCAGCCAAUCUGUCAACCAGGCGGUGGCCGGUGGCCCAAUGGAGGGAUGAGAACAGGACCUCCAAAGCUGGAGGGACACCACAAUCAAAGCAGAAGAGCAGCAGCAGUCAGAGAGGUCCGGAAGCAGGAGAGCCGUCCCUUGGAACUGCCUCAACAGCCAGUAUUAAGCCUCAGCUACAUGGAUCCCGACCUCCUCAGACUCCCACUCGGCCUUCCCUUAUGGGCCCUCCCCCUACUCCUCCUUCUAGACUACCACGCAGGACCCCGGGACCCUCCGGGACCCUUGCUGAGGCCAGUGUGCUGAGUGGAGGCUCUGGAAGUACACAAGGUUCUGGAAGACCUCCACAUAAGCCAUCCCCUUUCAAAACUGUACUGAAAGCUAGACUCCUCACAACCCCUGGGAAAAACACUGGGCCAUCUUUGGCCACAGCAUGCAAACCUGCUGCUCUCAUCAGUAAAGGAUCUUUAAUCAGUCCUCUGAAAAGAACUUCUGCAAGACUUCUUCGUCUAACUUCAAGUGCACAAGGUAAGAGUUCAAUUGUAUUUACCUUUAUUUUUUUAUGUGUACUUUGCGAUGCAUUCCUUCCAAAGUUGGAAGCUUUCCAUGGGAAUAAACUAGAAAUGUUGGGGUAA
ensembl:lncRNA